rnacentral:rRNA from 1 species
AACGAACGCUGGCGGCAGGCUUAACACAUGCAAGUCGAACGCCCCGCAAGGGGAGUGGCAGACGGGUGAGUAACGCGUGGGAACGUACCUUUCGCUUCGGAAUAUUCCCGGGAAACUGGGAGCAAUGCCGAAUACGCCGUAUUGGGAAAGAUUUAUCGGCGAAAGAUCGGCCCGCGUUAGAUUAGGUAGUUGGCGGUGUAAUGGACCACCAAGCCUACGAUCUAUAGCUGGUCUGAGAGGAUGAUCAGCCACACUGGGACUGAGACACGGCCCAGACUCCUACGGGAGGCAGCAGUGGGGAAUCUUGGACAAUGGGCGCAAGCCUGAUCCAGCCGUGCCGCGUGAGUGAAGAAGGCCUUAGGGUUGUAAAACUCUUUCGCCGGAGAAGAUAAUGACGGUAUCCGGAGAAGAAGCCCCGGCUAACUUCGUGCCAGCAGCCGCAGUAACAC